rnacentral:rRNA from 1 species
GACGAACGCUGGCGGCGUGCUUAACACAUGCAAGUCGAACGCUGAAGCUCAGCUUUUGUUGGGUGGAUGAGUGGCGAACGGGUGAGUAACACGUGAGUAACCUGCCCCCUUCUUUGGGAUAACGCCCGGAAACGGGUGCUAAUACUGGAUAUUCACUGGUCUUCGCAUGGGGGUUGGUGGAAAGGGUUUUUCUGGUGGGGGAUGGGCUCGCGGCCUAUCAGCUUGUUGGUGGGGUGAUGGCCUACCAAGGCUUCGACGGGUAGCCGGCCUGAGAGGGUGACCGGUCACAUUGGGACUGAGAUACGGCCCAGACUCCUACGGGAGGCAGCAGUGGGGAAUAUUGCACAAUGGGCGCAAGCCUGAUGCAGCGACGCCGCGUGAGGGAUGGAGGCCUUCGGGUUGUGAACCUCUUUCGCUCAUGGUCAAGCCGCAACAAUGGUUGUGGUGAGGGUAGUGGGUAAAGAAGCGCCGGCUAACUACGUG